UACGUAGGCAGCAAGCGUUGUUCGGAGUUACUGGGCGUAAAGGGUGUGUAGGCGGUUGGAUAAGUGUGGUGUGAAAUCUCCCGGCUUAACUGGGAGGGUGCGCUACAAACUGUCUGACUAGAGUGUGGGAUGGGUAAGUGGAAUUCCUGGUGUAGCGGUGAAAUGCGUAGAGACCCGGAGGAACACCAGUGGCGAAGGCGGCAUCCUGGUCUGCGACUGACGCUGAGGCGCGAAAGCUAGGGGAGCGAACGGG
rnacentral:rRNA from 1 species